rnacentral:rRNA from 1 species
CCGCGGUAAUACGUAGGGUGCGAGCGUUAUCCGGAAUUAUUGGGCGUAAAGAGCUCGUAGGCGGUUUGUCGCGUCUGUCGUGAAAGUCCGGGGCUUAACCCCGGAUCUGCGGUGGGUACGGGCAGACUAGAGUGCAGUAGGGGAGACUGGAAUUCCUGGUGUAGCGGUGGAAUGCGCAGAUAUCAGGAGGAACACCGAUGGCGAAGGCAGGUCUCUGGGCUGUAACUGACGCUGAGGAGCGAAAGCAUGGGGAGCGAACAGGAUUAGAUACCCUGGUAGUCCAUGCCGUAAACGUUGGGCACUAGGUGUGGGGACCAUUCCACGGUUUCCGCGCCGCAGCUAACGCAUUAAGUGCCCCGCCUGGGGAGUACGGCCGCAAGGCUAAAACUCAAAGGAAUUGACGGGGGCCCGCACAAGCGGCGGAGCAUGCGGAUUAAUUCGAUGCAACGCGAAGAACCUUACCAAGGCUUGACAUGUUCUCGAUCGCCGUAGAGAUACGGUUUCCCCUUUGGGGCGGGUUCACAGGUGGUGCAUGGUUGUCGUCAGCUCGUGUCGUGAGAUGUUGGGUUAAGUCCCGCAACGAGCGCAACCCUCGUUCCAUGUUGCCAGCACGUAAUGGUGGGGACUCAUGGGAGACUGCCGGGGUCAACUCGGAGGAAGGUGAGGACGACGUCAAAUCAUCAUGCCCCUUAUGUCUUGGGCUUCACGCAUGCUACAAUGGCCGGUACAAUGGGUUGCGAUACUGUGAGGUGGAGCUAAUCCCAAAAAGCCGGUCUCAGUUCGGAUUGGGGUCUGCAACUCGACCCCAUGAAGUCGGAGUCGCUAGUAAUCGCAGAUCAGCAACGCUACGGUGAAUACGUUCCCGGGCCUUGCACACACCGCCCGU